rnacentral:lncRNA from 1 species
AAAAUAAAACUUAUUUCAAUAUUCAACGUCUAAGAUUAACUGUAUUUCAAUUAAAUCCAUAAAAAAUUAAGAAAAUUAUUACAUACUUUAAAAAAAUUAAAUAUCAUAAAAGAUACAAAAAUAAUGUAUAAUUUUUCUUUCAAAAAAUAAAUUGUAUAUAUUACACUACUAAUUUAUAAACUAAUAUAUCGCCCCAACAAUUUAAAAUCCCUAACUCCGUCCCUGCCAUAAGUUGUUCCAACUGCCUUCCCCGAUGAAUAACGUAUCAUCAACAAACUAAAGCAAUUCAAUCUUACAAAGACCUUUAAGAUUGAAACCUUUAAACUCUUCAAUUUCCACUCAAUUUCUAAGAAGACCCGCAAGACCUUCUGUUACAAUGAGAAAGAGAAAAAGAGAUAGAUGAUCGUCUUGCCGAAGACCUCUAUGAGCUUCGAAAUCCUUUAUGGAGCUGCCAUUAACCAAUAUCGAAAUAUGACUAGAAAAGACGAUUGACUCCCUCCAUUGCAUCCAUUCGAAGCCAAAAUUCAUUCUCUACAUCUGUUUUGCAUUCAAUUAUUGUUGUAAUAAAAGAAAGAAAAGAAAGAAUAAUAUUAAUAAAAUAAAAAAUAAUGUUCAAAGUAAAAUAGUAAAGAUCAAAAUUUGAAAAGGUUAGAAAAAUAUCUUCUUGUAAAUGUUUCUUUCAAUAAAAAAAUUCAGAAAUCAAUAAAAUUAUAAAAUGAACAAUUUUAAGAAAUUUAGCCAUAUUUUCUCUUUUUGUAUGUUAUAGAUAUAAUAUGAUAUGAUCAAUUUAUAGUAGUAUACACUUCUCCUAAGUUAAAAUAAAUUAAUUAUUUUUGGCCCUUGAGAAGUAUGGAAAAACAUCUUUAAAUUGCUAAUGUGAUAUAUCCUUAUUAGAAUUCACUCUUUUUAAAUUAAAUUUUUAACAUUUGAUUAUAGAUAAAUAAUAUUUUAUUUAUUUUAAAAAUUGUGGCAAUAUGGAAAAGUUAUUGUACGUAUACUUUACCGAUAGUUGAUCAUAUUGUAAGAUUUUUUUUUUUAUAAAAAUAAAACCAUUUGAUUUUAGAUAAUGAAUAUUAAAUUUUGUAGACAGGAUAAUCCCAUGAUUCACAUUAAUGUACAAAAAUAUAUUAAUUAUAAUUAAUUCGAACACCAUGUUGUUUUAGAACGAGGCUUCUCAUCGAUGCUUUUGUAAAUUUCUAUUGUUAUUUUUCUGAAGAAAAUAAUAUAGCGUAUAAAACUCAUGAUAUCAUCAAAUAAAAUAUGAUAUAAUCGAUUAACACUUAACUAAGGAUUUGUAAAAAAUAUCUAUAAAUUACAAUCUUUAUUUAAUGUAUAUUAGAUAUAUUAUGUAAUAUCUAUUCUUUAGCACUUUUAAUGGUAGUUUAUAUAACUAGUCUGAAGGUGAGAAAAAUAUAAGAGGGAAGAGGGGAUUGAAUUGUGUUGACUUUUUAUUUGACUUAUAAGAUCUUCCGAGUUUUGUAAUAUUUGAUCAAGUAGCUUUUUUUUAAUGUCAAUAAAGAGAGUCUGCAGGAGAGUUGUAUAAGCGCUUGGUGUAGUAGUCUUCUUCUCCGGUCUUUCUGCUCCUUAAAUAGAGAAGAGAGAAAAGAGAUGUUGGAGAUUUUCACCAAAAGGUUGGGCUAACUCUGCACUUGAUUAGACACAUCAACAAAACACCUUUCUCUAAGAUUAAUUAUUCAUCGAGGCUCAGGCAUCAAAGAAGAGAUUUUUCCAUAAGUGUUUACGUGAUCAAAAAGUCUAAGAGUCUGUUAGAGUUGCCUUGGUAGAAGAGUUUCUUCUCCAGAGGAAGACUUUCCUUCAGACUUCACUCUUUAGAGACUGAUCACAUCAGAGUUCUCUUUGACUUCUAAAGCUUCAGAGUCUGGAUCACUAGAGACUGGCUUUCUUCAGAGUUGACUUCUUCAAAGUUUUGAUUUCCAUCAGAGACAGAGUCUUCAGAAGUGAUAUUCAGAGCUAGAAUUUGAUCUUCAAAUUUAGAUUUCUCAAGCUCUUCCUCAUUUGUAGAGUUGUACUCACCUCUACCAUCAGUUCUGAGAAAUUUUCAACUUUUUACCACUAUGUUUUUCAGCAUUCACCUUGAACUUCUGAAACUCAGCAAACACCUCAUGCUUAAAAUUGAUGAGUCUUACCCAUGUCAUUCUCGUGAACUCAUCCACAAAAGAAACAAAGUACUUGUUUCCUCCAAGUGAAGAAACUUUAAAUGGUCCACAUACAUCAUAAUAUACUACUCCUAAUGCAUGUUUUGCUCUUAGAGCCACUUCUAAUGCAAAUGGAAAUCUAGGUUGCUUACCUUUCAUGCAUAUCUCACAUGACUUCUUAGUUUUCAAAAUCUUAGGAAUUCCAUGUACCAACUUCUUAGAAUUCAGAUGUUCUAAACUUCUGAAGUUCAGAUGCCCUAAUAUAUUAUGCCACAACUCACCGUCACCUUCAACACCUUCUGCACUAAGACAUUUAGUUUCAGUUGUUUCCAUAUUCACUUUCAAUUAUAUGUUGCUUCCCUGUUCAUACUGCAUAAUCAACUUUUGAUCAGAAUCGUACAACUUCAAGAGAUUGUCCUUCAAAUCAACUAAAAAACCUUUCUCAAUUAGCUGACAUACACUCAUCAAAUUGCUUUUCAUGCCAGGAACAUAUCAAAUAUCCUUAAUCAUAAGAGUCAUGUCAUUCUUCACUCUGACCUUGACAUUUCACAUUCCUUUACCAUUCAGAUACUUAUCAUUAACACAUCUGAUUUUUGUCCUCUUUCUAGAAUCAAAAUCAAUCAGCCAUUAUUUAUUUUUAGUUAGGUAAUUUGAGCAGUCAGUGUCUAUAUACAACAGGUCUAUCAAAAUCCACCAUCAGACUCGGAAGCCAUCAAUAUCACAAUUUGAUCAUCAAAUUCUCCUCUGGCUAUGUUUGCUUCUUCUGAUUUUCUUUCCUUAUUUGACCAACAGUCAGCUGCAAAGUAACAAAACUUCUUACAAUAGUAGCAUUAAAGCUUCUUCUUGUCAAACUUCUCAUUUUCCUUAUGAUGUUUCUUCUCACCACAAUUGAAGACUUAUGACUUAUGAUAACCACCAUCAUGUCUCUUCUUGGUCUCUGACCAAAACUACUUAUGAUUCUUCUUUCCAGAAGAUGCCUUUGUAGCCUGCUCUACCUCUCUUUUAGAGGUUAUUUGUUAGACGCAACUCUUGUGCCUCUAGACUGUUUUUCUGAUCUUUAAUUCUCAUGGUGCUCAGAUCUUUAGAAUGUUCAAUUGCAACAAAAAUGUAAUCAAAUUAAGGAGUAAGUGAUCUCAGUACCUUUUCAAUGAUUUUAUGUUCAAAAAGAGUAUCUCCACAAGAUUUCUCUCAUUUGUGAUUAGAAUCACUCACGAGAUAUAAUCUGAUAUCUUUUCAUUGUUCUUCAUGUUGAGAUUCUCGUACUUCUUACACAGAGACUGAAACUUCACCUUUUUCAUUGAUGCAUCACCAUGCGUAGCAACGUACCAGUAUGUGCCACACAACCUCCGUAGUCGUUAAAUCAACGAUCAUCUCAAAAACAUUCAUAUCCACACACUGAUGGAUAUAUAACAGAGCUUUAUGACCCUUCUUCCUCAACUCUAUAUACAUGUUCCUUUGUGCUUCAGUUGCAUAUGUUGCAACCACUGCAUAGCGGUCAUUGACGAGAUCAAGAACAUCGUGAGCGCUAAACAACACAUGUAUCUGAAUCAUCCAUCAAUUCCAAUUUUUUGCGUCAAAGACUGGAGGUUUCGUGUUCAAGCUAUCGUUUCCACCGUUCAUCUUCAAUCUUGUGCAAGAAAUCACUCAGACCUUACUAAAUACCCGUGUUUCCAAAUCCCCGAGAAUCAAGAAAUGUGAUUCUAUUAUGAUUUCGAUCGUAAAAUUUCAAUGCGAAUUCAAGAAACAAAAUCAAUCACACACGCCUCACGUUCACUAGUGUUUUUCGUAGAUCUGAACCGGAGUUCUAGAUACCAAUUAUUGGUGCACAAAAGAAAGAAGAUGAAGAUGAUGAAUAUGGAGAGAGAAGAGAGGAAAACUAAUAUGUAACUAACUUUUCUUUAACAUAAUUUUUAAAUUGAUUACAAAAUGAUUCACACUAAAACUUAAAACUAACACUAACUUUCAGUAUUUAUACGAUCAAAGUCUAAAUGCAAAUUCAAAAACAAGUUAAAUUAGACUUAAAUAUAAACCAAAAUGAAUUAUAUCUAAUAUUCAAUCAAAAUCUAAAUGCAAAUUCAAAAACAAGUUAAAUUAGACUUAAAUGUAAACCGAAACGAAUUAUAUCUAAUAUCUAAUAUCAAAAAGUUACAAUAAUCGACUUUAUUAUAUCAUGAAAGAAACUUCAUUACUAGGAGUUUGCAAAGAAAAGCUACAUGAAUAAUUGAAUUUUUCCAUUUAAAAAAAAAUCAAAAGUUGUUACUGCAAUAGGAAGUUCCAAUUAAAUUAUAAAUAUCAAUAAACAAUGUUGUAAACUUCCAUUGCUGGUUGCAACUCCUUGUUCUAAUUCAUUUAUUUACUCUAAAAGAAUGUUCGUUUCUAAGAUCACUUGUAUCGCUUAACAUAUAGUAUUCAAAGAAAAAUAUAUAAAUAAUAUUUCAAUUGCCUUAUUUCAUUUUAUUAGCAACAUCUCAAAUUACAAAGUCUUAAAUCUAUGGUGUAUGAAAUUAUGAAAGGAAAAAUAAACAAGGUGUAAUAUUUUAUUAUAAGGUAUAUUGCGUAAGAACUCAUUUGUCAUGUAUUGAGUUUGUUUACCCUUUUGGCUUUCACUUCGACUCUUGGGGCAAUUUUACAAAUGUACAUAGAUUGUCAAUACACUUCAAAGAAUAAAGAACAAAAUAAUCUGCCGGUCGUGAACAAUCUGCAUCUGUUUGGCAUUCAAUUUUUUCUGUAAUAAAAGAACAAAAUAAAAAAAUAAAAUUAAUAGAAAAAUAAAAAAUUGUGUUCUAAGUAAAAAAAGUAAAGAUCAAAAUUUGAAAAGGUUAGAAAAAUAUCUUACUGCACAUGUUUCUUUCAAUAAAAAACACAGAAAUCAAUAAAAUCAUAAAAUGAACAAUUUUGAAAAAUUUAGCCAUAUUUCCUCUUUUUGCGUGUUAUAGAUAGAAUACUAUAUGACCAAUUUAUAGUGUAUAAAUUUAACUUAUCCUAAGUUAAAAUAAAUUAAUUUUUUUAGCCCUUGAGGAGUAUGGAAAAACAUCUUUAAAUUGCUAAUAUGAUAUAUUUUUAUUAGAUUAAUGUGUGAUGUUUGUCCUUUUAACACAUUAAGAGUAGCAUACAAAACUUUUUUAUCAUUAAAUUCACUAUUUUAAAAUUAAUUUUUCAUGAUAGAUAAAUAAUAUUUUAUUUAUUUCAAAAAUAGUUACAAUAUGGAAAAGUUAUUUGUCCGCAUAGUUUACCGAUGGUUAAACAGUGUAAGAUUUCUUUUUUAUAAAUGAAAUUAUUUUAGAUAAUGAAUAUUAAAUUCUUUAGUUAUUUGAUUUUAGAGUCGGAAAUGAGUCGAGUCGAAUCAAAUUCGUCUCAGUUCAGCUUGAUUCGAUAAUAAUUAGUUUAACUCAAAAUUCGACUCAAAUUUUUUAAGUUUAACUUCAAAUCAUUUUAAAUUCACGAACAAUUUAAUUCAAUUCGUUAGAUUCAUCUCGUUAAACUCAGUCGUUUACUCUACAAACUAAAAAUAUAUUUUUUAAAGUCUUAUAUAUAUAUAUAUAUAUUUUUUUUUUAAAAAAAAAUAUUUAAAUAUAAGAUUGAAAUUUAACUUCUUUUAAAAAAUUCUUAAUGUUUUUAUUUAUUAUAAGAAUUUUAUUAAAUAAAAAAGUUUAAUUUUUAAUCACUAUAUACAACUUUUUUUAUAAUACGAUGAUUUUAUUUGAAUAAUUAUUUUUAAAAAUAUUUUACUCACUUGAGAAUAUAAAUGAUCAAUUAAAAUCGUCAGAUUAAAAAUAAAAUAAAGGGUUAAGAUUGGUAGUAUGUUUUUAAGCUUAUUCUUAGAGCCAAUAUUACCAUUCUCAUAUAUAAUCGAGUUAAUUUAUGAACAUAAUGAGUUGAACUAUACAUAGUUCAAACCCAUCUCAUUUAAUUAACGAACUUAAUUUUUUACUCGUAUUCAACUUAUUUGAUUCAUGAACACCAUUUACAUGUCAGUCACAUCUCCGAAACUGCAUUUUUGGAUUUGUCUAGCGUGAUUUUUAAUAAAAUAACACAUUGCAUGUUCUUCUUCUUUAUGAUCAAUUACCAUUUUCACUCAAAAUCCUUAAAAAAUAAUCUUUCAUUCUCAACCAAGUUUUACACUCCAAAACUUCAUUAUGGAGCAAAAGAAACUGAAAUUUAAGGUAAAAUUCAUGCAUUUUAUUCCUCAUUGCUCACAUUAAUCAGGUUUUUGAGCUGAAAAAGUUAUGUUGUGUCUAGAAAUGCAAUUCCGGAUUCUAGGUGAGUUCAUACAGAAAUGUAUUUUCAGAAUAGUUUAGAGUAUAAUUUAAAUUAUUUGUUUUUGAAUAUUUUAGGUUAUUGUUUGCCUUAGCUAUGGUGUUCCCUAAUGUUAUCCCCAAACCUAUUGUGUCUACGUAUGUCAAAAGUUUUAACGUCAAGGAUGUAGAUGUUGGUAACAUAUUAAUAAAUGGACAAGAGUUUGAUGUUUGUGAUCAUAUGCUCCAAUAGAUCUGCACAAAGAUCCAAAUUGGGGGCUGGGUUGUAAUCUAGAGGUCAGAAAUGGUUCAGAUAGAAUACUUGCAUUUGUGACAUUGAGAUGUGAAAGAAGUGACAAGUAGACAACUCUUCUCCGAAAGUUGAAACGAGGUGACACUGGUUCAAGGAAAUGUAAGUGUCCCUUUAAGUUGCGUGAAUAUCUUUUGGCAAAAAUUAAAUGUACAUUUAAUGUGAUUUAUGGUUUACAUAACCAUGAAAUGUGUCAUAAGAUAGACAACCAUCAUGUUGCAUCUUGCCUUAUGCCUAAAGAAAAGGAAAUUGAUUUUGAUGUAACAUUGAAUAUGGUGCAACCCAAAAACAUAAUUGCAACUAUGAAACAUAAAAGACGUGAAAAUAUCUCAAAUAUCAAGAAAUAUACAACGUUCAUGUCCUUAACAACAAGGCGAUAAGGGGGUAGGCUUGAACUGCAACAACUGCUGAAACUUCUGGAUGAUAACAAUCAUGUAUAUCGGUACCGAAUGUGUGAGGAUGGAGAAAUCAUUUGAGAUAUAUUUUGGACUUAUCCUGAUUCUAUAAAGUUGUUCAACAUAUUUCGAUCAUACCCUAAAUUUCACCCUAUCUUUCAUAAUGUUUAUCUAGAUCACUAACCCUAAUCAUUUGCAUAUUCUCAUGGGCAUUCAUUCCGUUUUUAUAGGCAUGGUUCAAUACAAGAGAACAUGUAUCUUGGAUUCAAAGCUUGGUACUUGUACUUAGUGGAAACUAGGGUUUCCUAGCAAUUAGAGGUUGCUCAGUCAACCAAACCCUAAUUGGAGAUAACUCUCGAUGCUUGGGUAUGUGCUUGUUAUUGAUGAUUCAACUGUGGCUUCUUGAUGAAGCAAAACCCUAAUUUGGGGACUCCCACUUGCUCAUGUCUCCACAAACCCUAAUUAUGUCUAGCAUUCAUUGUGUGGCCUCAUAACCUUAAUUUCAUCUAAUUCUUCUCCACCUAUUGUGUGUGUGUGUGUCUCUCUCUUGUUUGGUCAAGUUUCAUUCAAUGGUCUCUUGUUCAUGGAUCAUUCAUGUUGAUCCUUGGUUUUGAUUCCAUUCAUCUUGUUCUUGUGUCCAUUGGUUUGAGCUCAAUUCCAUGGCCCCACAACUUUCAUUUGCACUCAUCCAUAGCAUUUCAUAUGGUUAUCUCAAGUGUUUAGUCCAUGCCUUUCUUGUUUCAUCAGGUCAAUUUCAUUUAAGUCCAUUUCAUGACAUUUUCAAUGCUUAGUGUUUGAUCCAUGGAUCUUUGAUUCAUGCUUAUCAUUGUCCAUUCAAGUUUUCUAAAGCCUAAUAUGAUUCAUCCAAUUCAUGUCCAUUAGUUCAUGUUAAUGGUUCAUUCAUUUCCAUACCUUUCAUCAUUUCUCAUUUCAAUCCAUUUCAAGUCUUGUUAGGUAACAUCCUUUCAAGGUUUGAUUCCAUUGGUUCAUGUUAAUAUAGUCCAUUCAAAGUUAAUUCAAGCCAUGUUAAUAUGAUCCAUUCAAGUCAUGGUUAUCCAUUCAAUGAAUUCAAAUUAUGAUCCAUCAAUACAUUCAAAGACCAAAUUCUAUCUAUUCAAGUUCAUAUCAAAUUCAUUACUUUUAAAUACCAAGUUCAUACAAUAUCAAUCCAAUUUCAUUCACAAAAACCUCAAAUUCCAUUACAUAGAUCAUGAGAUUGUCCAUACAUGAAAAAAUUACAAAAAAAUGACAUGUUAACCAAAUGUUAACUUUGGUCAACAAUUGACUUUUUGGUCAACUUUGACCAAAGUCAACUCAACCACUCACCACCCUAAAUCUCAAUCAUAUUUCUAAUCCUAAGUUCAACCUUGAUUCUUGAGUUUAGGUCAUUUUUACAUGAUGCUUCAAGGUUCAACUUGGUGUCACUUGUUUGCAAACUUUUGUCCAACCCAUUUCAUGUGCAUAUGACAUAUGAGAAACCUAGCAAAACAAUCCACAACAUGAAGUCAAUAUGCAGUGAAAUCAUGAACCAUUGCCAACCAAGUUGCAAAAUGCAUGAACACAAGCUCACAACCCACUAGCACAAGCCAUAUAUUAGUGCACAUUAAAAGCAAGUCAGAAUCAUAAGCACCAUGGUCAAGAUGCAGAACCUACUACGAUAUGAACAUAAAUUAUGCAUGCAGAACCACUUCACAAGACUACAAGGCUCCCUGCAUAAACUAAGUUAAAAUUAAAGCAUGAUGCAUAACCUUGCAUAAACAUAUGACUACUAUCAAACCUUGCAGGAACAUGCCAUGCUCACCUGCAGUGAAACACCUCAAAACCAUACUGAAGCUAGCGGAAAUAUACCCGAACGUAUCGCAUGCUCGAACAUGCAACAGAGUUUCCAUCGAACUUUAUUUAUUCCCGAAGGAAAGGGAAAACAUUGAUAAAACCUGGGGGAAAGAGAUAUGUUAGGUAAGGAAGUCGGUUAUGCAAGGGGAAUGUAUUAACACCCCUAACAUCCAUGGUAUUCCAUGAGAACCAUUUUGAUUAUUCUCGCUCCAAUGGGUGUUCUAUAUAAAGAUUACUCACAAAAAAAUAAGAGGAAAGGAAGAGAAUAGAUAAAGUGCUUGGUGAGGAUUGGGGCCUUUAUGCCUACGUAUCCUCAUAGUGCAAUAAGGAAUUCAGAGCUAUGUAGUUCAUAGAACUAGUUGCGGGAGAUGAAAAGAAGUGUGAUAACAAGUAUAGUCUAAACAAAAGGAUGAUCUGAUUUGAACUCUAAAAAGGGGUGAAAUAUGAACCCAAGAGUAAAACUGGAGUUGACCAACAAGUGAUGGGCAUAAGGCAUGGUAUCACUGUAUUGGAAUAACUGAAAAUAAAGGAAUUAAGUGUUUGGUUUCACAGCACAAACAACUCUUGGUUCAUAAGGAAAUACAAGAUGGAGCACAAAGAGAUAUUAUAUUUUGCUCAAAGAUAAAUGAUAUAUCACAUGAAGUGAAUGAAGGUAGAGUAUGAAUGCAUUAUGGAGAUGAAUGGAAUGAAGUGACCAAAGUCACAAAAUCGAAGGUUUGGUAACAAGUGGCUGAAGAAGUAUAGUUUGAAACCAAAGGUCAGAUACACAUCAUAAUGCAUAGGAGAAAUAAAGUUUGUACCAUAGAGAGAAACAAGCAUCUUAGCGUAAAAAGAAGGAAUUAAAUGUUUGGUUUGACAACACAAACAACUCUAGGUAUGGAUGCAUACUUUUCAUUAGGCGUUCUAAAAGGGUGUGUAUGGAUAUCCAAAGUAAAUUGUAUUUCAGUUUUAAAGAAACGGUAUAUCACUAGAGUGAACAGUUUAAUGAUCAAAAGUAGAUAAUGUACCGUGAAAGAUAUGAGUGGUGCCCUAAGACAGAAGGAGGAAUAAUUAGAAGUAUGCUCGCAGAGGAUUCGCAUCAUCGUGCCUACGUAUUCUCACCGUGCAAUGAGAAAAUCAGAGCAAUCGUAGUUCGUGGAACUACGAACAAAAAGGAAAGAGCAUAAACAGUAUUUGUCUAAGUAACAAGGUCUGACAAGACAAACAACUAAAGGGGUAUGAUUAAAGUGAUGAACAAUAUAACUUGUACCAACAGAAUUGUAACAUGGGAACUCACAAAGGUGAACGACUUCGAACCAAAGGGUAAAGGCAUAUCAGUCAAAAGAGAGAGCAAAGUGUUUGGUUUGACAUCACAAACAACUUUCAAUUCAUAAAGUUUUGGCCCAAAAGGAGGUAAUGAUUGUUUGGUUUGACAACACAAACAUCUGGUUCACAAGGUGGACUAUGAUUAGGUCGUCCUAAAAGGAUGUAAAUGGGGUCCCACAAGAAAGUAUUGUUGGGUACAAUAAACAGUAUAUCACUAGCUAGGAAACAAACAAUUCGAGAUCGAGGAAGAAUAGUAUAUUGGAUCCAUGAAAGAAUGAACUCUGAACCGAAAAGUAAACAUAUAUUUUGGUCAAAAAGAAGGAAUAAGGUGUUUGGUUUGACAUCACAAAUAACUUUUUGUUCACAAGGUUUUAGCCAAAAGGAGGAAUCAAAUGUUUGGUUUGACAGCACAAACAACUCUUGGUUCACAAGGCAGACUGUUCAUUAGGCGUCCUAAAAGGAUGAGCACGGAAACCAAGGAAAAGUAUAUUUGAUCUCAAAAAGAUGAUAUUGAUUUAAUGAAUGAAGAAUGUUGGAUUAAUAAAUAAGGUAGCUCGCGAAGAAACUGGAUUCUCCUGCCUACGUAUCCUUAUAGUGCAAUAAGGAAAUCAAAGCUUUCGUAGUUCAACCCACUAGGGCUGAAAACAAGAAUGAUUAAGGAGGCAAGAGGAGUGAUUGAUUGAAAUGAAGGAUGGAUUAGACUUGAUAGUUACUUGAUAAGAAUCAUACGAAAGUUUAUGAGUAAAGGUGGAUACGAUAAGCAACGGGCCAAAUGUCCUACACCUAAAGAUAUCCAGAAUGAGUGUAGGAAAGCUCCAGUCUCAUUCCUUCUUUACUACUUAAGGCUCGUGGCGUGUAAUUCUCAUAUUAACUUUCAAGUUGCUGGAGAAGAGUCUUGGUCAUUGUUCGUUGUAAUGAUGAAACGAGAGACUUGACAGUUGAUUGACGAGGAUCACACUAAAGUCUAUGAAUAAGGGCAAGUGUGUUGAAUAGCUAGGGCCUACGCCCCGUACGCAAAGUCACUCUAGACAAGGAUGAGAGAAACUCUGUAUCAUCAUUCCUUAUUAUUUAAGGCUCAUGGUGUAUGAUACUUCUCACAACUCACAAGUUGUUGUGGAAGAAUCUUCUUUGUA